rnacentral:rRNA from 1 species
UAGUGGCGAACGGGUGAGUAACACGUGGGCAAUCUGCCCUUCACUCUGGGACAAGCCCUGGAAACGGGGUCUAAUACCGGAUACGACCUGCCGAGGCAUCUCGGCGGGUGGAAAGCUCCGGCGGUGAAGGAUGAGCCCGCGGCCUAUCAGCUUGUUGGUGGGGUAAUGGCCUACCAAGGCGACGACGGGUAGCCGGCCUGAGAGGGCGACCGGCCACACUGGGACUGAGACACGGCCCAGACUCCUACGGGAGGCAGCAGUGGGGAAUAUUGCACAAUGGGCGAAAGCCUGAUGCAGCGACGCCGCGUGAGGGAUGACGGCCUUCGGGUUGUAAACCUCUUUCAGCAGGGAAGAAGCGAAAGUGACGGUACCUGCAGAAGAAGCGCCGGCUAACUACGUGCCAGCAGCCGCGGUAAUACGUAGGGCGCAAGCGUUGUCCGGAAUUAUUGGGCGUAAAGAGCUCGUAGGCGGCUUGUCACGUCGGGUGUGAAAGCCCGGGGCUUAACC